rnacentral:rRNA from 1 species
AUUGAACGCUGGCGGCAUGCUUUACACAUGCAAGUCGAACGGUAACAGGCCGCAAGGUGCUGACGAGUGGCGAACGGGUGAGUAAUGCAUCGGAACGUGCCCAGUCGUGGGGGAUAACGCCGCGAAAGCUGCGCUAAUACCGCAUACGAUCUAUGGAUGAAAGCGGGGGACCGUAAGGCCUCGCGCGAUUGGAACGGCCGAUGUCAGAUUAGGUAGUUGGUGGGGUAAAGGCUCACCAAGCCGACGAUCUGUAGCUGGUCUGAGAGGACGACCAGCCACACUGGGACUGAGACACGGCCCAGACUCCUACGGGAGGCAGCAGUGGGGAAUUUUGGACAAUGGGCGCAAGCCUGAUCCAGCAAUGCCGCGUGCAGGAAGAAGGCCUUCGGGUUGUAAACUGCUUUUGUACGGAACGAAAAGGCUCUGGUUAAUACCUGGGGCUCAUGACGGUACCGUAAGAAUAAGCACCGGCUAACUACGUGCCAGCCGCCGCCGUAAUAC